rnacentral:lncRNA from 1 species
AGAGAAAGGAGAGAGAGAACGCAGAGGGAGGGAGGCAGGGAGGGAGACCAAACCCCCGCUUUACUGCGUUGAAAGCUUCUGAAUUUCAAGCAGAAAGUAGAAGGAGCUCCAAAGGCAGUGAGCGUCUUUCCUUGGGCUGCGUGUGCCGAGCGUAGACAAUGAAAAUCUUCAUCCCCCUCCCCCAUUCUACUAGGCUACAAGAUUCUUGUUUUCGUUCCUUCUCACCGGUGGAAGAUGUGUAAAAUCAAAGAUGUAGAGGUGUGUAGUGAUUUUUUUAAAAGCCAACUAACCACCGCACGGACUGCGACGCGGAUUACCCGAGCGCACGCCGGCUGGGCGCAUUCUGGGGUCUCUGCGCAAGACCAGCUCUCAGCUCUCUCUCCUUUCCUCGGACUCUGGAGCGGGAGCGGGCCUUUCCCUCGGGUCGACCACGCCGUAGGGGACGCCGUGAAAAGAGCCGUCGCGCCCGCUGCCUCCUGCCCGCUGCGCAGAGGGCUCCGCCCGUAGAGGUCAACUUCCCUCACCCUUUUCUCUCUCCUGCUUGCCCUCCCUCCGCCCGGCCCAGGCGCUUCCAGCCCCAGACUGUGGCCACUGGCUGAGGAGUGCGAGUCGGCUGCGCUGCCCUGAGCCUAAUCCCUCUUCCGGGCCCAGACCCGAGGUCCGCGCUCCUGGGCAGUGGGGAAGCUUUAGUGAGCAGGCUUUUCUCUCCGCAGCAAACUUGUAGCCAGACCAGAUGGGCCGCCCAGCUCUCUCGGGACUAGGCAGGUGCGGAUGAGUUAAUUUUUCCGCAUUACAAAGAAAGAUGACCCAGCCCGCCCUUGGACUCUCUUUUCCCAAAAUCUCCCAACCAAACCCGCGGUAACGUUAUCAAAGGACACAGAGCCCAGGCAUAUCUGUGUGUUUAUCUUACAGGCACACACGCAUGGUUUUCUCUUUUAUAUGCUAGAUUUCAUCCCUGACAGCAGAAAAUGAUUGGCAAUGGUUAUGACGGAGAACAUGCAAUAGCGUGGUCCUUAAAAACCUGCCAUUCCUUACAAGUGCCUUAGAAAGGAUUCAGGGCGAACCAACUGGGUUAAUUGCAUUCAGUAAAAUAACACGAUUACAAAAUUA